UAGUAGUUGCUUUUUAGUUAUGAGAGAAGGAAGAAAGAACGAGAGAAAAAAAAAAAAAACAAAAACAAAACAAUCAAUAAAUAAAAGUUUUUGGUCUUAGUUGAAAUUCAGUUUCGCUUAGGCGCCUGGUCCUAUGCUAUGCCUAUGCCUAUACCAUCUAGUACUAUUAUAUACACACACAUAUACAUUUAUAUCGAUAUGUAGCUAUAUGAGAGUAAAAAUGCGUAACUAAAGACUCAAAAUUGGUUGUUUCAGGCUUAAACGAACAAACAAAUCAACUUGAUAUUUGAUUUCCUAGUUAAACUAUCAUUUCUAGCUAAAACUUGUUGACAAAUGCUUUAGAUGAGUAUUACGAGUAUUACGACUAUAAAACAUAUAUAUCAUACUAUAUCGAUGUGUGUAUGUGUAUAAUCUAUAAUAAUACGAUGAGUAUAUAGCAUUAGACAAAAUAUAUAAUAUAUAUGCAUGUUUUGUACAAUCAGUUUACAAAAAGAAAAAUCAGAGUAUUCAAGUAUACCUAGUACUACUUUAAGCCUAAGAGAUGAAAAUGAUGACAAAAAAAAAAUGAAGCGCAUAUUACACAAGGCACACGAAAAUACUUUAAAAAGGAAAUAAAGCUAAGUGAAAUAUAUAUACAACAAAAUAUACAUAUAUCGAAAGAAUAUAUAGAUAUAUAUUUGUGGAUAUAUAUCUAUAUAUAUGAUGUAGCUUUAGCUUUAAGCAGAUGUGAUGGUGUCUAAAAAUUUAUACAAAACAUAUGCAAGUGUUUAUACAGAUAUAUAUACAUAUAUGUAUGUGUGUGUGACACGCUUAGAUAUAUUAGACACACACACACACACGCAAGAGUACUACAUAUAUUGCUUAUACCUAAGAUCAUUUAAAUAUGUAUUUGACACGCAUUCUAUGUAGUUUGCAUGUAUUCUCAUUUACUGUUUGCCUUUACAGUUUUGCAUUUGGUUUCGUUAGCUUUGGAGACACUGUUCCCAAGAAAAUUCCUUAAAUAUACUUUACUUUCAUUGCCCAUUUAUGAACAUGCUAAGGAUCUGGGCUAUACCCUGUGAAGGAAGAAACAAAUAAUAGUAAAACCAACAGAAACCAACGCUUAGCUUUAUGUAUAUUUAGUCUAAAAAUAUAUAAAUAAAUAUAUACAUAUAUAUGUAUCUAUAUAUAUAGUAUAUAUAUAGAUGUAAUAAUGCUUAGCAUUGGCCAGUGGUAUAUGUUAUAUACAUACAUACAUGCAUAUACAUAUAUACUACAUAUAUUUAUAACGGAUCAGCAUGUCAAGAAGUACAUCUACUUUAGUAUUGAUAAACUUAAGCACAAUCAACCCACACACACAUAUGUCGUACCCUACAUACCUGUAUGUGUAUGCGUAUACAUAUAUACAUAUAUAUACACUUAUAUUAGUUACAAUUGCUAUGCUUACAAGUGAAAUGGGCCUAUGCGUGUUUUUUAAUUUUAAUAAAAUUUUGGUUUAAAUAAAC